rnacentral:rRNA from 1 species
CCUACGGGAGGCAGCAGUGGGGAAUAUUGCACAAUGGGGGAAACCCUGAUGCAGCGACGCCGCGUGAGUGAAGAAGUCCUUCCGUACGUUAAGCUUCAUCAGCCGGGAAGAAAAUGACGGUACCUGACUACUAAGCCCCGGCUAACUACGUGCCAGCCACCGCGGUCAUACGGGGGGGGCAAGCGUUAUCCGGAUUUACUGGGUGUAAAGGGAGCGUAGACGGGAGCGCAAGUCUGGAGUGAAAUCCCAUGGCUUAACCAUGGAACUGCUUUGGAAACUGUGCAGCUAGAGUGCAGGAGAGGUAAGCGGAAUUCCUAGUGUAGCGGUGAAAUGCGUAGAUAUUAGGAGGAACACCAGUGGCGAAGGCGGCUUACUGGACUGUAACUGACGUUGAGGCUCGAAAGCGUGGGGAGCAAACAGGAUUAGAUACCCUAGUAGUC